UGACGUUACAUAUUAGCUUACCCGUUUUUAUACGGUCUAUGAGGCUUCUCCGGCAUUACCGCAGAGCAGGAAAACUGCAUUUUUCGCAUCUACCACAAGCGUCAGAAGUAGCCAAGCAAACAUAUCGCAAAUCUGAAAUAUGCACUUUCCAAACGACGAAUUCUGAACGUUUUAUCGAACUUUAAUGCACACCAUUUUCUUCGCAACAGUUGAAAUGUUUCCAUGGUUGCCCUUAACGCUAUGGAUAGACCGUUCACCUCAGUUUCAACACUGUUGAAUGCGAUGGCAGUGGAUUACCUGGAAAAAACCUCCACCAUACCCUGAUUGCAUGCCAACCUUUGAUUACAGACCCCUGUCAACGUUUAAUGAGAAGCUCGAGGGAAUAAGCCACAGCUGGAGUGGGCUGACUGAUCUGGAGCAAUGACACAAAUUCACGAAGGAGAAACUUAUACUUUGUAAGUUGAGACAAAGCUGCUCCACCCACGAGUGCCUUUGCACACACAAGUGAUUACCCGCGCAUCUGUUGUGCUGGACAAAACAAUAAUGCGACGAUGAAACAAAGUCCGAAAGUCUUGUUUUCUUUCUGUCUUUCUUUCUUUUUUUUUGCUUGCUCAUCUCCAUGACCCUGUCUCUAUUUACUAUGAACAAUCGUCCUGCCCAAAGCCAGCUUUCUUUGCUGAAUUAUUGUGGCUACUUGCGCAAUCAAGUUACUUCAAUUAAAUGACUUUCAUACGGUAGUCACAGGGUAUGGAACAAUGCUAGACUGCUCAAUCUAGGAAGAAAGAACUAAGGAUCACUUACUGGGUUAACAACAGAACAACAUUCUGUUAGGAGAAACUUCAGUCUGCCAAACCUCAGCAUGAGGUCAAUCCAAACAUGAAAAUCUGUCUAUUUAUUGAAAGCUCACACUGCAAGUACUCCACGGUAGUUUUUUGGGUGUGUUUGUGUGUGUGUAUGUGUAAGAAACUAUCUAGAUCCUGGAGGCUGUAGAUCGUGUAAUGUGUCCCAUCAAAAAACAAAAAUAACAAAAUAAUCCACUGAGACAUGAAAGUUAAUGCUACCCAUGUUUGAGUAGUUUUCUAUUGGUCAUCAUACAAAAAUCAUACAUUUUGCAGCAAUUUUGAUUUUAGAAAAAGUCUAAUCUUAUGUUGAAUGUGCCAGUCAGUUUUAUUUUACGUCUCAUUUCACACGAGCGAAUGUGAAGGACUUCUGUUCUCUCAGGAUUCGCUCCCUGAAAGAGCCGUGUAGCUUUCAGUCACUGGAAUAGUCCACGCUGAACUGGGUCUUCGUAAUCCUGUCUUCUGUUUAAACACGGCCUUGUAACCGAUGAAGCAAUCAAAGUAGAGAAAGGCUGGGAAGACAUCUGCUCAUAAAACAGGAAAAAUUUCUCACGAUUGUCUUUUCAUCCACGGAAUAGGAAAUCUAAUGGACUAGAAAAUAAGAUAUAACCUCGCCACCGUAUGGACUUUAAGAAACUUUUGUUCACUGCAAAAUAUGAGUAAACAACUCAAUUUAAAAAAACUAGUUCUAGCUUCCAGAUAUUCCACAGUAUAGACAUGGCAACAUUUACAUACAUGCUUAGCAUUGUAUGUUUUAAGUUAUCUAUGUGUGGCUCUGCUUCUUAUUACAUGCUUCAUAAAAGCCUGUUUAGGUGCAUGUAUCUGCGCUGGUUUUCUUUGCUGAGGUACUGUCGCACUGGUCUGGUGUUUGGUUGUGGGUUUUUGACAGUAGCAGCAGUGUGCUCUGAAUUUUUGUCUGUAGGCCUGUAGGACCCUUUUCUCGGUUGUGUAGAGCUUUUUAUCCUGUAGGGCUGUAUGGCUUUUUUUUUCUGUAGAACUUUUUUUCCUGUAAUGCUGUUGGGCUUUUUUCCUGUAGUGCUGUUCGGCUUUUUUCCCUGUGGUACUGUUGGGCUUUUUUCCUGUAGUGCUGUUGGGCUUUUUUCCCUGUGGUACUGUUGGGCUUUUUUCCUGUAGUGCUGUUGGGCUUUUUUCCUGUUGGGCUAUUUUCAGAUUGUGUCACUGUGCUCUCGGGUGUGUCGGUGUUGAGUGACUUGGUUUCAUAGUAAAAAUAAAUAAAUAAAAGAUCUCAGCACUAUGCCUUCGUUUCUUGUACAUGCAGCUGAUGUUUCAAAUGUUUAAUCCUGAAAGAGUCCACUGGUAAGUUAAAUUUUUUUUUUUAAUUUCACUUAGAGA